rnacentral:lncRNA from 1 species
CAUGUUAUGGCAACUUUAACUAGUGGUAUGAUGUAAUUCAAUAGCGUUUCAUUAUUAUGGUCCCCAUUGGUUGCUACAGUAAGAAAAACAAAAAAGGCAUAUACAUACUCAUACCCCAUAUUCUCAUAUCAAAGUACAUAAUAAUAAAUGAAAGACAAGAAUACAAAAAUUUCAGUAUGAAUAUUGUUUUCUGUGUCAAUGGCAAAGCUAAUAUUUCCAUCGAACAAUGUAUUUCAAUUUUGGAAAAUUGGAACAUGGAGAAAAAAUAUCUAGUAUAGGGUGAGUAUUGAAACCCUUUUUUUUCUCCAAAUGUUUAACAGUAGACAGGCUAAUUUAAAUGGCUUUUUAAUUAUACCAAAA